rnacentral:lncRNA from 1 species
AGGAAGAUUGCAUGCGUUCGUUGCGAAAAAAUCCACCCGAGUUUCGCUACCCGGCAAUAGUGCAUUCGGGUGCCGAAAUGCACCCGUUUUGCAUCAUUUUUCGUGCCGGAACCGAAUGCCCCAAAAACACUCCCAAACAUGUUCUAGUGUAUAUUUAGGAAGAUUGCAUGCGUUCGUUGCGAAAAAAUCCACCCGAGUUUCGCUACCCGGCAAUAGUGCAUUCGGGUGCCGAAAUGCACCCGUUUUGCAUCAUUUUUCGUGCC